rnacentral:rRNA from 1 species
AUCUGAAGUCAAGCAAGAGCACGCGCUGAACUUAAGCAUAUCACUAAGCGCAGGUAAAAGAAAAUAACUAUGAUUGCCUCAGUAACGGCGAGUGAACCGGCAAUAGCCCAAGAUGAGAAUCGCUGCUCUGCGAGCACGCGAGUUGUAAUCUAAAGGGUGGUCACUGACUGGUUCUUCUGACGCCCAAGUGUCUUGGAAUAGACCGCCAGGGAGGGUGAAAGCCCCGUACGGUGUCGGAGGAACGCUAGGUGGCCGCUUGAAGAGUCGAGUUGUUCGGGACUGCAGCUCUAAGUGGGAGGUAGACUUCUCCUAAGGCUAAAUAACUAUGAGAGACCGAUAGCGAACAAGUAAUGUGAAUGAAAGAUGAAAAAUAAAUUUCCUUCCGUAAGAACUUUGAAUGAACAAAAGAGAAUUAAAGAGACCUGAAACCGUUGAGGUGGAAGCGAUAGGAAGUUUUCAUUUGGUUGGGAGCUGGCAAAACGGAUUCGUCUGUGAGUUUGCUCCCGGCCGAAGCGGUUGUUUGCCUUUGGGCGCCUCAGAAACCCAUCUGGGCCAGAGCUUCGGCAUCACUUAGAUGGAGAAUGUUGCGGCUGAGGGCAAGGAACCUUUGAUGUUUUCCUACCGACUCGUCUUGAAACACGAACCAAGGAGUCUAACAGACAUGCGAUUAUGUUGGUGCUUUGAAAACCAUACAUGAGCAAUGAAAGUAAGCGGUGCCAAUCGUAAGAUGCAGCAUCGGCCAGUUGUGAUCCUCUGGAGAAGCGUACUGGCUGUGAGCAUAUCUGUUAGGACCCGAAAGAUGGUGAACUACGCUUGAGUAGGGUGAAGCCAGGGGAAACUCUUGUGGAAGCCCGAAGCGGUACUGACGUGCAAAUCGUUCGUCAAACUUGAGUGUAGGGGCGAAAGACUAAUCGAACCAUCUAGUAGCUGGUUCCCUCCGAAGUUUCUCUCAGGAUAGCAAGGACAAUUAAAGCAGUUUUUAUUUCAAUUAGGUAAAGAAUAAAUGAUUAGAAGCAUCUGGGGGUUUUAUUAGUGCUCUCGACUUAGUUCUCAAACUCUAAAUAUUUGUAAUAACUCGGUAUUCCUUAACUGAAGAUCGAGGCAGAAUGCUUGUCCUUAGUGGGCCAUUUUUGGUAAGCAGAACUGGCGAUGAGGGAUGAACCUAACUCUGGGUUAAGGUGCCAAACUGCACGCGCAUCAGAUACCUCAAAGGGUGUGUUGAUUCAUUUAGACAGCAGGACGGUGGCCAUGGAAGUCGGAAUCCGCUAAGGAGUGUGUAACAACUCACCUGCCGAAUGAAUUAGCCCUGAAAAUGGAUGGCGCUGAAGCGAGCUACCUAUACUAAGCCAUUAGUGUAAAUGCGAAGCACUAAUGAGUAGGAGGGCGUGGAGGUUGUGAAUAAGUCUAGGACGUGAGUCCGGAUGGAACAGCCUCUAGUGCAGAUCUUGGUGGUAGUAGCAAAUAUUCAAAUGAGAACUUUGAAGACUGAAGUGGAGAAAGGUUCCAUGUGAACAGCAAUUGGACAUGGGUUAGUCGAUCCUAAGAGAUGGGGUAAUCCUGUGUAAAGAGCGCGAUUCGCGCUGCCCAUCGAAAGGGAAAAGGGUUAAGAUUCCCUUACCUGGACAAGGCGGCUGACGGUAACGUAAGCGAGCCCGGAGACAUCGGCAUUGGUCCUGGAAAGAGUUCUCUUUUCUUUUUAACAGCUCGAAGGCCCUGGAAUCGAAUCAUUCGGAGAUAGGGCUCAGAAGCUGGUAAAGCACCGCACUUCUUGCGGUGUCCGGUGCGCCAAUGACGGUCCGUGAAAAUCCGGGGGAGCGGCUACCGAUCUUGCCAGGUCGUACUCAUAACCGCAUCAGGUCUCCAAGGUGAGCAGCCUCUAGUCGAUAGAAGAAUGUAGAUAAGGGAAGUCGGCA